AAGACGUCCGAAAUGAGACCUUCUGGGCUUUGGGGGGCCCCCUGUGGAAUUGGAAAAUGAGGAAGUGAGCAGUGACAAUCUAGACUGUUUAUUAGAGGUACAUCUCUCAUUUUUCAGCAACCAAGGAGCCUUUGAUUAGUAGUGAAAUUGUGGCACCCCAACAAUGGUGGAGUGGAAUGUCCUGCUACUCUGGAGGGGUGAUGGCUCAGGGUCGAGACUGAACUAAUUAGAAAAAAGAAUGCACUCCAGGAAUAUCAAGUCCAAAACGAAGCUCUUCAAACCAUCUGGGAAGACAAAACAGCAUGACAAGGAAAGGUAUAUUUGUCUGAUCCCAGGAAUCAAUAUAAACAUCCAUGAUAACCCCACCUAUUUUUUAAAUAUAUGAUUUGGAUGAAACAAGAGAAAGAGACUGAUUGUUGCUGAGUCCCUGCAGCAGUCCCGACACAGCUGGAGAUGCCCUGCUCCCCUGCUCCCCUGCUCCCCUGCUCCCCUGCUCUCCUGCUCUCUUUAUUUUGUUGAUGCUCAUGAGGACCCUGAUGUCUGAGGAAGAAGGUUCCCGUCCAGCUCUGCCCCUGGUGUGUCACGUGCCAGCCUUGUCAACGCACACGAGAACCUGACAGGAUGGCACCGAAAGUGAAGAAGGAAGUUCCUGCCCCUCCUAAAGCCAAAGCCAAAGCCAGAGCUAAAGCUUUAAAGGCCAAGAAGGCAGUGUUGAAAGGUGUCCACAGCAACACAUAGAAAAGAAGAUCCACAUGUCACUCACUUUGAGGUGGCCCAAGACUCUGCGACUCCGGAGGCUGCCCAAAUAUCCUCAGAAGAUCACCCCCAGGAGAAACAAGCUUGACCACUAUGCUAUCAUCAAGUUUCCGCUGACCACUGAGUCGGCCAUGAAGAAGAUAGAAGAAAACAACAUGCUUGUGUUCAUUGUGGAUGUUAAAGCCAACCAGCACCAGAUCAAACAGGCUGUGAAGAAGCUCUGGGACAUGGAUGUGGCCACAGUCAACAUCCUGAUUCGACCUGAUAAAGAGAAGAAGGCAUAUAUUCGACUGGCUCCUGAUUAUGAUGCUUUGGAUGUUGCAACAAAAUCAGGAUCAUCUAAACCGAGUCCAGCUGGCUAACUCUAAAUAUAUGUAUAUCUUUUCACCAUAAAAAAGAAAUAAUGUUUUUCAUAAGAAUGACAACUUAAUUAGAAUCAAAUUUAUAAGCUUUAAGAUUUUACGUUUCUAGUAAGUAUAAUAUUAGCUUAUUUGAGUAGAACUCAAGCGGAAUAGGAAUUUAUGUUUGUUUUAUAUUCAAUAGUGGUAACUUUGAAGACAUAGUUGUUUUAUUACACCAAAAAUAUUAUAUUAACCUUAUUUAACUAAGUUGUAUCCAAAUCGUGUUA